CUCGGCACCGCGCGUCUCUUCCGCCCCCCGCCCGGUACGGCGGUGGAACAGCGCUGCCGCUCCUUCGCCACCUCCCGUGCGGGGCCCCUCGCUACAAGAAAGACACUGAGGCCUUGGAAUGUGCCCAAAGAAGGGCAAUGGAGGUGUGAAGGAUCUGAAGCACAAGUCUUGUGGAGAACAGCUGAAGUGAAAUACUAAGAAAAGAAGGACUGGGGAACGAUCUCUUUCCAGAAGGCUGAAGUCAUGAUCAUGGGCCAUCCUGGCAGGAUAGGAAGGGAUCUGAGUGGAGAACUCUUCAUGGCAGUCUUUGUGAUGUAACUUGCUACCUGGCAGUCAUUAAUCUCACUGACAAAGGGAUGCUGAAACCUUCUCAAUCCUUUUCUGAUGGAAACAUUAUAAGAGCUGCUGCUUAUCUUUACUGCAACUUUGGAUGACAUGAGAAGGCCAAGUGAUUGCAACAUGCUGAAGGCA